rnacentral:rRNA from 1 species
AGAGUUUGAUCAUGGCUCAGAACGAACGCUGGCGGCAUGCCUAACACAUGCAAGUCGAACGCCCUGGUUCGCCAGGGAGUGGCGCACGGGUGAGUAACGCGUGGGAACCUGCCCGGCAGUACGGGACAACCGCGGGAAACUGCGGCUAAUACCGUAUACGGCCUGAGGGCGAAAGAAUUUCGCUGUCGGAGGGGCCCGCGUCGGAUUAGGUAGUUGGUGGGGUAACGGCCUACCAAGCCUGCGAUCCGUAGCUGGUCUGAGAGGAUGAUCAGCCACACUGGGACUGAGACACGGCCCAGACUCCUACGGGAGGCAGCAGUGGGGAAUAUUGGACAAUGGGCGCAAGCCUGAUCCAGCAAUGCCGCGUGAGUGAUGAAGGCCUUAGGGUUGUAAAGCUCUUUCGCCCGCGACGAUGAUGACGGUAGCGGGAGAAGAAGCCCCGGCUAACUCCGUGCCAGCAGCCGCGGUAAUACGGAGGGGGCUAGCGUUGUUCGGAAUUACUGGGCGUAAAGGGCGCGCAGGCGGCUGCUCAAGUCAGGCGUGAAAGGCCUGGGCUCAACCCGGGAAUUGCGCUUGAGACUGGGCUGGCUUGAGUGCGGGAGAGGAUGGUGGAAUUCCCAGUGUAGAGGUGAAAUUCGUAGAUAUUGGGAAGAACACCGGUGGCGAAGGCGGCCAUCUGGACCGCAACUGACGCUGAGGC